rnacentral:rRNA from 1 species
GGGAGACGAGGUGGUGCAUGGUUGUCGUCAGCUCGUGUCGUGAGAUGUUGGGUUAAGUCCCGCAACGAGCGCAACCCUACGUUAGUUGCUAACAGGUGAAGCUGAGCACUCUAGACGAACUGCCGUUGACAAAACGGAGGAAGGUGGGGAUGACGUCAAAUCAUCAUGCCCCUUAUGUUCUGGGCUACACACGUGCUACAAUGGCCGGUACAGACGGAGGCGAAGCCGCGAGGCGGAGCAAAUCCGAAAAAGCCGGUCUCAGUUCGGAUUGUAGGCUGCAACUCGCCUACAUGAAGUCGGAAUCGCUAGUAAUCGCGGAUCAGCACGCCGCGGUGAAUACGUUCCCGGGCCUU